rnacentral:rRNA from 1 species
UACGUAGGUGGCAAGCGUUGUCCGGAUUUAUUGGGUUUAAAGGGUGCGUAGGUGGUCAAUUAAGUCAGUGCUGAAAUAUCCCGGCUUAACCGGGAGGGUGGCAUUGAUACUGAAUGACUUGAGUGGAGUUGAGGUAGGCGGAAUUGACGGUGUAGCGGUGAAAUGCUUAGAUAUCGUCAAGAACACCGAUAGCGAAGGCAGCUUACCAAGCUCUGACUGACACUGAUGCACGAAAGUGUGGGGAUCAAACAGG